GACGAACGCUGGCGGCGUGCUUAACACAUGCAAGUCGAACGGAAAGGCCCCUUCGGGGGUACUCGAGUGGCGAACGGGUGAGUAUCACGUGGGUGAUCUGCCCUGCACUUCGGGAUAAGCCUGGGAAACUGGGUCUAAUACCGGAUAGGACCACGGGAUGCAUGUCCUGUGGUGGAAAGCUUUUGCGGUGUGGGAUGGGCCCGCGGCCUAUCAGCUUGUUGGUGGGGUGACGGCCUACCAAGGCGACGACGGGUAGCCGGCCUGAGAGGGUGUCCGGCCACACUGGGACUGAGAUACGGCCCAGACUCCUACGGGAGGCAGCAGUGGGGAAUAUUGCACAAUGGGCGCAAGCCUGAUGCAGCGACGCCGCGUGGGGGAUGACGGCCUUCGGGUUGUAAACCUCUUUCAGCAGGGACGAAGCGCAAGUGACGGUACCUGCAGAAGAAGCACCGGCCAACUACGUGCCAGCAGCCGCGGUAAUACGUAGGGUGCGAGCGUUGUCCGGAAUUACUGGGCGUAAAGAGCUCGUAGGUGGUUUGUCGCGUUGUUCGUGAAAACCGGGGGCUUAACCCUCGGCGUGCGGGCGAUACGGGCAGACUGGAGUACUGCAGGGGAGACUGGAAUUCCUGGUGUAGCGGUGGAAUGCGCAGAUAUCAGGAGGAACACCGGUGGCGAAGGCGGGUCUCUGGGCAGUAACUGACGCUGAGGAGCGAAAGCGUGGGGAGCGAACAGGAUUAGAUACCCUGGUAGUCCACGCCGUAAACGGUGGGUACUAGGUGUGGGUUUCCUUCCUUGGGAUCCGUGCCGUAGCUAACGCAUUAAGUACCCCGCCUGGGGAGUACGGCCGCAAGGCUAAAACUCAAAGGAAUUGACGGGGGCCCGCACAAGCGGCGGAGCAUGUGGAUUAAUUCGAUGCAACGCGAAGAACCUUACCUGGGUUUGACAUGCACAGGACGCCGGCAGAGAUGUCGGUUCCCUUGUGGCCUGUGUGCAGGUGGUGCAUGGCUGUCGUCAGCUCGUGUCGUGAGAUGUUGGGUUAAGUCCCGCAACGAGCGCAACCCUUGUCUCAUGUUGCCAGCGGGUAAUGCCGGGGACUCGUGAGAGACUGCCGGGGUCAACUCGGAGGAAGGUGGGGAUGACGUCAAGUCAUCAUGCCCCUUAUGUCCAGGGCUUCACACAUGCUACAAUGGCCGGUACAAAGGGCUGCGAUGCCGCGAGGCUUAGCGAAUCCUUUUAAAGCCGGUCUCAGUUCGGAUCGGGGUCUGCAACUCGACCCCGUGAAGUCGGAGUCGCUAGUAAUCGCAGAUCAGCAACGCUGCGGUGAAUACGUUCCCGGGCCU
rnacentral:rRNA from 1 species